GUUGUUGCGGUUAAAAGCUCGUAGUUGGAUUUUGGGCGCAGGCGGCCGGUCCGUCGCAAGGCGUGUACUGGCCGUCCUGGCCUCACCUCCGGUUCUCCGCCGGUGCCCUUGACUGAGUGUCGGCGGCGGCCGGAACGUUUACUUUGAAAAAAUUAGAGUGUUCAAAGCAGGCGAUUCGCCUGAAUAAUGGUGCAUGGAAUAAUGGAAUAGGACCUCGGUUCUAUUUUGUUGGUUUUCGGAGCGCGAGGUAAUGAUUAAGAGGGACAGACGGGGGCAUUCGUACUGUGCCGUUAGAGGUGAAAUUCUUGGAUCGGCGCAAGACGAACGACUGCGAAAGCAUUUGCCAAGAAUGUUUUCUUUAAUCAAGAGCGAAAGUCAGAGGUUCGAAGACGAUCAGAUACCGUCCUAGUUCUGACUAUAAACGAUGCCAACUAGCGAUCGGGGGGCGUUAGUUUUACGACCUCUCCGGCAGCUUGCGGGAAACCAAAGUCUUUGGGUUCCGGGGGAAGUAUGGUUGCAAAGCUGAAACUUAAAGGAAUUGACGGAAGGGCACCACCAGGAGUGGAGCCUGCGGCUUAAUUUGACUCAACACGGGAAAUCUCACCCGGCCCGGACACAGUGAGGAUUGACAGAUUGAGAGCUCUUUCUUGAUUCUGUGGGUGGUGGUGCAUGGCCGUUCUUAGUUGGUGGAGCGAUUUGUCUGGUUAAUUCCGAUAACGAACGAGACUCUGGCUUGCUAACUAGUUACGCGACCCAAUCGGUCGGCGUCUAACUUCUUAGAGGGACUAGUGGCGUUUAGCCACACGAGAUUGAGCAAUAACAGGUCUGUGAUGCCCUUAGAUGUUCGGGGCCGCACGCGCGCUACACUGACCGGAUCAGCAUGUGCUCGCCUUGGCCGACAGGUCUGGGUAACCCGCUGAACCCCGGUCGUGCUAGGGAUAGGGAAUUGCAAUUAUUCCC
rnacentral:rRNA from 1 species